UAUGAGAGUUUGAUCCUGGCUCAGGACGAACGCUGGCGGCGUGCCUAAUACAUGCAAGUCGAACGCUUCUUUCCUCCCGAGUGCUUGCACUCAAUUGGAAAGAGGAGUGGCGGACGGGUGAGUAACACGUGGGUAACCUACCCAUCAGAGGGGGAUAACACUUGGAAACAGGUGCUAAUACCGCAUAACAGUUUAUGCCGCAUGGCAUAAGAGUGAAAGGCGCUUUCGGGUGUCGCUGAUGGAUGGACCCGCGGUGCAUUAGCUAGUUGGUGAGGUAACGGCUCACCAAGGCCACGAUGCAUAGCCGACCUGAGAGGGUGAUCGGCCACACUGGGACUGAGACACGGCCCAGACUCCUACGGGAGGCAGCAGUAGGGAAUCUUCGGCAAUGGACGAAAGUCUGACCGAGCAACGCCGCGUGAGUGAAGAAGGUUUUCGGAUCGUAAAACUCUGUUGUUAGAGAAGAACAAGGACGUUAGUAACUGAACGUCCCCUGACGGUAUCUAACCAGAAAGCCACGGCUAACUACGUGCCAGCAGCCGCGGUAAUACGUAGGUGGCAAGCGUUGUCCGGAUUUAUUGGGCGUAAAGCGAGCGCAGGCGGUUUCUUAAGUCUGAUGUGAAAGCCCCCGGCUCAACCGGGGAGGGUCAUUGGAAACUGGGAGACUUGAGUGCAGAAGAGGAGAGUGGAAUUCCAUGUGUAGCGGUGAAAUGCGUAGAUAUAUGGAGGAACACCAGUGGCGAAGGCGGCUCUCUGGUCUGUAACUGACGCUGAGGCUCGAAAGCGUGGGGAGC
rnacentral:rRNA from 1 species